rfam:Camelus ferus unplaced genomic scaffold scaffold1303, whole genome shotgun sequence.
GUAGGUAUGGCUCAGUGGUAGAGCAUGUGCUUAGCAUGCACAAGGUCCUGGGUUCAAUCCCCAGUAUCUCCA